GACAGAGGGUGCAAACGUUGUUCGGAAUUACUGGGCGUAAAGCGCACGUAGGCGGUUUGUUAAGUCAGGGGUGAAAUCCCGGAGCUCAACUCCGGAACUGCCUUUGAUACUGGCAAGCUAGAGUCCGGAAGAGGUAAGUGGAACUCCUAGUGUAGAGGUGGAAUUCGUAGAUAUUAGGAAGAACACCAGUGGCGAAGGCGGCUUACUGGUCCGGAACUGACGCUGAGGUGCGAAAGCGUGGGGAGCAAACAGG
rnacentral:rRNA from 1 species